UUAAAAAACCGAUAUUAAAAAUAAUAAUAAUAAAUAAAUAAAUAAAGGUCUGAGAGCGGGAAGCCAAAAAUCUGAGAGAGGGAAGAAAGAUCACCCCCACCAAAUCUCCACGUCCAAGAAUAGAGAAACCCGUCACCAAAUCUCCACAUCUCCGGCCAAGCAACCCGCAACAUAUAUACUCCACAUCUCUGGCCGAGCAAGAAGUGCGAAACCCAACUCCCACAACAGCGAAACCCACCAUCGUCGGCCAAGCGGGAGUCCAAUUCCCACAACGAAAGCACAGCACACAGGACUUCAGGCCGAGGACAUCCGUUACGUGGAGUAAUUUUGGAAUUCCGUUGUACAAAAGCUUGAUGUGAAUGA